GGCGGGAGAUGAGCGAGGGGGGCCGGGGAGGUAGGGGAAGCCUCCCCCUCAGCCCAGGAGGAGGCUGGGAGAGCCGGCUAGCGGGGGAGAGCUAGACUCCCGCGAGGGCAGGAGGAUCGGGAGACCGGGGGGAUAACGCCGUUGGGUGAUGGAGAAGCUAGAGGCCACCCCCCUCCCUCGCCUCAGCACCGCGGACCACCCCCGCUGCCAGCCGCUCGCCCUCCCAACGGCAGCGCGCGGGGCCAGGACACAGCAUCCCUGCGAGCAAGCGAGGAGCCGGGCGAGGAGAGAGGCGGUGGCUCGAUGCCCGCGAACGGCGGCAGCCGACAAGACGCAGCGGCAGUAACGGCAGCAGCGGCGGCGGCGGCGGCUCCGGGAAUCCUGCGCGGCGGCCCCGCCCCCUCCUCCGGCCAGAACCAGCGCGAAAAAUCCCCGCCGCUGAUUGGACGCCGCCGCCGCGCGGCCCUUGGAGCGGCUGUUUCAAAUCCCCCCGCACGGAACCGCCCGUCUACGCAGCCCCGCGGCCGGGAGCGGGGUCAGGCUCUGCCUCGGGCCGGGCCCUGCCUCGCUAGCCCCUGCGACAGGCGGUAACGGGACCUUGAUUGCAAACGGCGGGGGCCUGGAGGAUGGCGGGAGGGAAGCUGCCGCAGGGCGGGGUGUGGGGACUCCCCAGACGGGGCGGUGUCGUGUCUUGCCCACCUCAUGAGUCACGGCGCAAUAGACCCGAGGAGCUGCCCCUGUGAGACCCCCACACGCGUUCACCCCCUGCCAGCCAAAGGCGGAACAAUUCCCCUCAGCACCCCAUACGCCCCCCCCCUUCUGAACCCGUCCUGCGCCCUCCAACCGCGCGAAGGGCUGGCCCUGUCCAGGCCGGGCCUCUGCGCCGCGGCUGUGCUGAGUCCCAUACUGUUCCCUCUCCACUGCUGGGUGGAGAGAGUCUCGCCCUUUUACAUGUUCCUCUCCCUGCCCACGGCUCAGACUGCCAGGACAGAUGCUCUGGCUCCCACCCUAAUAUUUCCUCCUUUUCUGAAUCCUUUUGUAGAUCAGUAGGUGUAAACUCUCUGCUGCCUCUCACCCUGGGUUAUAAAGUCACUCCAUUUCAUACCUGAGGCCUUUCCUUUCCCAGGCAUUUAGACAUCCGUCUACAACGGUGGCGGAUUUGGGUGUAAGUAGACGGCAUAGUCUCCAUCAUCGUAAUCCAAACAACCUUAACUCUACCUUUUUGGCUUUGUCUAGACUAGGAUUUAAAGGUGGGAUGUUACGUGUUAGCUAGUCCCUCCCUGUGCUUUAACUUGAUCAAUUUAACAUCUUAAAGGCAGCAUGGAUUGGCCUGGAGUCUCCUGGAAUUGGCAUCAAUCUCCCAGUGACUAUUGACAGCAAUCAGGAGGAUGUCUUGGCAGCCAUUUUCAAGUGAAUCCACUAUAUUUGGGUGCUUCAAUAUUUGGGGGCCCAACUUGAGAUGCCUAUGGCCUGUUCUGCUGGGGUAUCAAGCCCCUACAGAACCAGUUGACUUUAAUGGGAACUGUGAUACCUAUCACAUAUGUCUCAAUGUAUCUUAAAUUAGGCACCCAAAGUGAAAAGACAGACAUUUUUGAGAAUGUAGGCCAUACUGUUGAAAGGUCACCUCUGCUGACUUCUUUUCUCUUGCUGUGAAUACUGAAUAAAGUAUUUCUUCCCUCCUCCCCAAUGUUACUAUCCCCAUCUUCACCCUAGAUAUGUUUUUAAAUCCUCUGAACUAUAUUGGUUUGUUUCAAUGACUGUAGGUAUGCCAUAGCCUGUUCUUUGCAAAUCACUGCAAGCAUAUUGCUAGCCAUCCUUGUCUGGUGAUUAGGAUCCUAGCACUCAGUCAGAGGUGGCUAAUAAUCUGCCUCCAGUGAGUUAGAGAGACAAGGUGGAGUCUUGUAGCUGUGUCAGUCCCAAGACAUUAGAGAGCGAUCCUGGGACCGACACAGCUACAACAAAACUGCAGUGAGUUAGCCAGUCAGGUUAUGCUACUGCUCGCUCUCUGUAAGAGGCUGUAGGAAUGACCCACAGGUACUUAUGAUAGUUGUGUUGGUAACUCCAAAUCUACAGGCAUUUGUUAUAAAUACAUCACUACAGAAACAUUGCCUCUCUGACCCCCAUUUACCCAGCAGCAGAAUUAAUUACUGUCAAAGUUAAGAAUAUACUCAAUAGAGAAAAAGAUUUAGGGCCACAAUGUGCCUAGACACUGGGUGCUUGCGGAUGAGAGUGCACAAGAAGACUCCACACCUUGCUCUUCCUCACACAGCCUCUGGGCACAAUUGCAGUUCCUCCUAUCACUCUCAUGGGCACUAGCCAUCCCAAAGGGGUAUGGUCAUGAUCCUCAGCUCUUCUGUAAUGGCCUGAGUAUCUGGCUAGACAUGUUGCAUUUGUUGAACUGGCUUGGUUAUCUGGAUUCUCUGCUGGAGCUACCCCUGUGGCUUCACACCACCUCCAGGGUGGGACAAUGGAAAGCCUUUUAUCAGUGUAAUUUGGAGUGAUCUCUCUAUUUUCUCUCUAUCCAUUUCUCUCACUUUUUCCCUGUUGGUUUCUCCUUUUGCUCUGUCUUGUCUCUUCAAUUCCCUUUCAUAUUGGCCUAACUGUGGAUAUGUCUACCCUACAAGCGCUACACGUGCAGUACUGUAAUGUAGACACUUUUACAGUGACAGAAGAGGUUUUUCCAUAACUAGUGAGAUGGAGUAGAUAGAUGGAAGAAUUCUUUGUUAAUGCUUUGGGUUUUGCCCCAGCAGAGUAUACAAAGAUUACAAAAUGGCAUUUCUCUGUUCUGCAUGUUGAAGGAAUGGGAGCUCUUCUUUUUUCUGGCCUAGGAUUGGAAAAGAAACUGGGGUAGAGCUAUAUCCUGGUUGAUGUAGAAGCAAGAUACAACUUCUGGGAGGAAACUGCAGCAGCAGCAUCAAAAAACUAUUCUCUUUGGGCAAAAAGAGUCUGAGGCAGGAGAGAACUGCCAGUUUGCUACACCUCACGCUGAGGUUAUAGAAUCAAGGGGAAAUAUUUUCUGUGUAAUAGAAUGAUUCCCAGAAGCUCAAAUGAAAUUCUGCAGUAUCUGAAGAAGAUCAGGUUAAAGUUGUAAGAGGAGAUCAGAUAUCUGAUCAGUAGCCCGAGCCUCACGUAACACACUGACCACAGGACUUAGAUAUUAGAGACUAGCUUCAAAUGAUAAUUAUGCUUCCUCUGAAUGCUGCUACUUGUAUUCAUUGGGCCUGUCCCAACUCCCAUUCUUUUUUUUAAAACUCGCCAAAACUCUUCUGCAGGAAUUCUAAGAUGGAAACAAUAAAAUUGCUUGCUCUUUUAGUGAAGUGAAGACAUCUAUGUAACUAUGACUGUAUAUAUUGUAAUAUAGAACAUACUUUAUAUAAAGUGCCACACUUUGGAAUUAUGUAAAGUUAAAAAACAAUAGAAAGCAAUUUCUGUUCUUAAUUUUUUUUUAAUAAGUUACCCACUUAAGAAAUCACAUUUAAACUUCCUGUAACUCUAACGGCCUGUUUCUCUUCCUCCUUUAAAAGGUAUCAGUAAAAUAUUCUUUCAAAAAAUCAUUCUGUUGAAAAUAUACCUAUUUACUGUAUGUAUUCUGUAUCAAGUAUUCUUUUACUGGUAUUUUACAGUUUUGUUCUGAGUUCUCACUGACUUUCUAUGAAUUUCCUCUUCAUUCCCUGGGGGUAAAUCCUUCGAUCUCUAGCUGCCUUUGGGAUAGCUCCAUUCAAUACCUAGGAGUUCCUUUUAAUAACUGACUCAAGCUCCUACCUAGUAAUCUGGGAAAACUAAACACCACGCCUGGACACCUCUAAGAGGCAAUACUUCCUGGUGCACAAGCACUGAGUCUGUAUUUAAAAAAAGAAAACUUUUAUUAAAAAGGAAAAGGAACCCUUAUUUGCAAAAGCACCACACCUCUUUCUUUCACUGGGAUGUGGCAUCUCUAACCCCCACUUAGCAAGUGAAAUUCUGUUUAGGUGACCCCUCAACUGGGACAUGCUAAGUACAG